CAGAGAGGCUGUACCAGAAUUAACUCUGCUCAGAGUUAGAUUUGCUGGUCUUAAAGUACUUUUCCUCUUCAAGAUAAAAGAAGUUCUUCUAAAUCAGGAAUGGACUGAAAUCUAAUGAACCCAAACUUUGGGUAAUUGAUCACCCUAGACCCAGGGACACCCAAUUCAUCGUAAUCAUCAUGAAUAACCAAAAAGUGGUAGCUGUGCUACUGCAAGAGUGCAAACAAGUGCUGGACCAGCUCUUGUUGGAAGCGCCAGAUGUGUCGGAAGAGGACAAGAGCGAGGACCAGCGCUGCAGAGCUUUACUCCCCAGCGAGUUAAGGACCCUGAUCCAGGAGGCAAAGGAAAUGAAGUGGCCCUUCGUGCCUGAAAAGUGGCAGUACAAACAAGCCGUGGGCCCAGAGGACAAAACAAACCUGAAGGAUGUGAUUGGCGCCGGGUUACAGCAGUUACUGGUAGGAAGAGCCACACCACCUGUUCCUCUGAUAUCCCCAAGUAAGGCAUUUAGACUCUAAGUGGUCUAAUAGAUUAAAUUUCUUUGACGCACAAGACAGCCCCCUACCCUUAUGCUCAGCUCUGCCAGAUUGACUAAUGUGGGGGAAAUAGCUGUUUGAAAAACAUUGCUUGCCCAUAACAUCUUGUGUUGUAAAGCCAAAUCCAGUAAAAGUGAAGAGUGGUCAGUGGGUCUAACAUGAACCCUGUCAUCUUGAAAUAUUUACAUAUCCUUUGUGGGCCAAAGAAGCAGAUUUGAUUUCACCAUUCCUCACAGCAUUUUAAUUUUGAAAUGCUACUUUCUAAAAGUUAGGUAGCUUAAAAAAAUAAAUGCACCCUUGUUUCAUCAGUGUGACUUGCUGUCUAAGCUAUUGAAGUCUGGUAUAUUCCUUCCCUGAGCCCCACCUAGGGUCCUGUUGACUUUCUUAUAUCCUCAAGAUUAAGGCUGUUCAGGAAGCAUCAAGUCAAAGUCAUUGACACACUUAUUUCUCAACUCAUUUAUUGGAAAUUAAUUGAACUGGUACCUCUAUGCCAGAUAGAAGAGAGCCUGAGGAGUAGCACAGGAACUCAGAUUGCAGCUCAGGAUUCAGGCUUUGGUUCUGGGGGUGACAUAGGGAGAACCAUUUUCCUGUUUGAUAGCAUUGCUUUUUACCCACAUUCUCUCAGAUGAUUGUCAAGGAAGAAAGCUUGCUAGUUUAUAUAUAUAUAUCUUUUCUCAAAUAAAAAAUAUAUUUGUCAGGCAUUAAAACAUGACAAUAUCCUAAAAUUUUUACUUUAUUGGUUUACGUAAGAUUGUAUUUUUGAGUCAUCCCAAAAUAAAUAUAUAGACAUUGUCUUUGCCCAUUCAAGCAAAAAUCUAAGAAAGACCACCUGAUCUAUAGACACACAAGAACAUCUUUAGAGACUUAAUAGAAACAGUAAAACCCCAAUUCUCUCAUCCUCCUAAAAAACAAACAAAACAGGUUAAGCAGACUGGGGAUUGCAAGCAAAGGAAAGUGAAUACUUAAGGAGAACACAAUGGUGAGCCAGGGUUUUAAAUAAAUGUGGUCAGUAUUAGUGGAAAAGUAGAAUAAAGUAAUAACUAUAACUUAACUGUCACUAUAGAGUUUACAAAGUGCUUGUAACACUUUACAGAGUGAUUCAGAUGCUCUUUGACUUACAAACGAGUUGCCCCCAGUAAAUCCAUCAUAAGUUGGAAAUAUAAUAAGUCAAAAAUAUUAUACAUUAAAAAUGCAUUUACUAUACCUAACCUACUAAACAUCAUAGCUUAGCUUAGCCUACCUUAAGCAAGCUGAGAACCCUUACAUUAGUAUACAGUUGGGCAAAAUCAUCUAAUAUAAUGCCUAUUUUGUAAUAAGGUAUUGAAUAUUUUGUGUAAUUUAGUGAAUACUGUGCUGCAAGCGAAAAACAGAAUGAUUGUAUUCUACUAAAUGUAUAUUGCUCUCACACCAUCGUAAAGUAAAAAAAUCCUAAGUUGAACCAUUGUAAGUUGGGGUUCUCCUGUAUUACCAUUAUCAUCCCUCUUUUACGAACAAGGAAAUUAAGGUGCAGAGAGAUUAAUUUGCCCAGGGGAACAGACCAGUAAGUGGUGAAAUUGUGACUUACAACCUUCUCCUUCAUCCAACUCCAGUUCUCCAUCAGGAAGCACCAAGUGAAGUGCUUGAAAAAACAGGUAGAAGCCAUGAGGUUUACUUAGUGUAUCUAAAGAAGGCUGUAGGCUGUCCAGUAACACUUUUUGUAUUGAUGAUGGAAAUGUUCUACAGCUGUGCUGUUCAAUAUGGUAGCCACUAGCUACAGAUGGCUCUCAAGCACUUGAAAUGUGGUGAAUGGAACCGAAGAACUGAAUUUCUAUUUUAGCUAUUUUUUAUUCAUUUCUAUGUAAAUAGUCACAUGUGGCCAGGGCUGCCAUUUUAUUGGACAGUGCAGCUCUAAAGCAGCGGCUAUAAAUGUGAGACCUCCCAACAAUAGAUUAGCAUCACCUGAAGUCUGGUCAGAAAUUCAAAUUCUUGGGUGCAAAUCAAAAACCCUUACUGAAUCAAACACCCUGGGGGCGGGAAUCCAGCAAUCAGCAUUAGACAAGCCCUCCAGAUGAUUCUGAUGCUAAAGUUUGAGAGCCACUGUUCGCAGGGAAGAGUAGAGUGGCAAGCAAGGGGGAAGGGCAGAGAGCCUGAAUGGGGAUAUAGUGGAGAGGGUCAAGGUAAGGAGUAAGGAGAAUCCAGUGAGAAGGCUGUAGGAGACCAAUCCAAUUAAAAAAAAAA
rnacentral:sRNA from 1 species